UGGGGAAUAUUGCACAAUGGGCGCAAGCCUGAUGCAGCCAUGCCGCGUGUAUGAAGAAGGCCUUCGGGUUGUAAAGUACUUUCAGCGAGGAGGAAGGCGGUAAGGUUAAUAACCUUAUCGAUUGGCGUUACUCGCAGAAGAAGCACCGGCUAACUCCGUGCCAGCAGCCGCGGUAAUACGGAGGGUGCAAGCGUUAAUCGGAAUUACUGGGCGUAAAGCGCACGCAGGCGGUCUGUCAAGUCGGAUGUGAAAUCCCCGGGCUCAACCUGGGAACUGCAUUCGAAACUGGCAGGCUAGAGUCUUGUAGAGGGGGGUAGAAUUCCAGGUGUAGCGGUGAAAUGCGUAGAGAUCUGGAGGAAUACCGGUGGCGAAGGCGGCCCCCUGGACAAAGACUGACGCUCAGGUGCGAAAGCGUGGGGAGCAAACA
rnacentral:rRNA from 1 species